rnacentral:rRNA from 1 species
UACAGAGGGUGCGAGCGUUAAUCGGAAUUACUGGGCGUAAAGCGUGCGUAGACGGUUAUUUAAGUCAGGUGUGAAAGCCCCGGGCUCAGCCUGGGAAUUGCAUUUGAGACUGAAUAGCUAGGGUGCGGAAGAGGGAAGCGGAAUUUCCGGUGUAGCGGUGAAAUGCGUAGAUAUCGGAAGGAACACCAGUGGCGAAAGCGGCUUCCUGGUCCAGCACCGACGUCAGGCACGAAAGCGUGGGGAGCAAACAGG